rnacentral:rRNA from 1 species
UUUUUUAAAUGGAAACUUGUAUGAAUGGUUGGACGAGAUAUAAGCUGUUUCAUAAUAAAAAUUAAAAAUUUAUUUUUAAGUUAAAAAGCUUAAAUGUAAUUAGAAGACGAGAAGACCCUAUAGAGUUUAAUAUUUUUAAAAUAUAUUAAUUUUAAGUUUAAUAAAUAAUAAAUUUAAAAAAUAUUUUAUUGGGGUGAUAGUAAAAUUUAAUUAACUUUUAUAUUUAAAAUUCAUUAAUAAAUGGUUUAUUGAUCCAAUUUUAUUGAUUCAAAAUUUAAAUUACCUUAGGGAUAACAGCGUAAUAUUUUUUUAGAGUUCAUAUCGAUAAAAAUGAUUGC